rnacentral:lncRNA from 1 species
GAUAAUAACCAAAAACUGCAAAAUUUCCUUAAAAUUACCAAUUCAGGGGCAGCAACCCAACAACCAGUUGUCCGAUCCAUCUGAAAAUUUCAGGGCAGAUAGAUCUUGACCUGAUGAACAAUUAAAUCCCGUCAGAUUUGCUCUAAAUGCUUUGGUUUUUGAGUUAUAAGCCAAAAACUGCAUUUUACCCCUAUGUUCUAUUUU